UUGAAUUAUUUGUUUUUUCAAACAUGUUUUUACCAUCAUUUAAUAAAUUUUUAUCAUAACCAAGUACACACAAACAUGUAGGUAUGUAGUCAGCAUGUAUGGUAUGAAAUAAAUAUAUAAAUAGACACACAUAUUAUCUUUGAAACCAAAGUUUUACAUAUUAUCAUGCUUUCCAUGUAUUAUAUAUCCUGAUAUUUUCUUUUCUAUUCUAUUCCUUUGUUAAAAAAAAUACUGGUUGUAGCCUACUACAUUUAUUUCAAAACCCAUGGGUGGGUCAUAACUUUCAUCUUGAAAACCACAUCCUAUAGUGAAGGUAGAACUUGAAGAGCAUCAAACUGAAGUUCUUGGGAACUAGACUGAUUCCAAAUACAAGAAUUAUGGCUUAAGAAACUGGAGCAUCAUUACCCUGUGAAUUAGAUCAGAAAUUGGAGCAUGUCUAUAUUUGUCACAUAAUAAAACAUUAUGUGACAUAGGUAGUCAAACAGCCCUUUGGUUGUAAUGUGUGAUCCGGUUAAUCUUGGAAGUGAAUCAAUAUCCUACAGUGAUCCAUUGGAGGAGAGAAGCACACUGGCCUGAUGAAAGCCAUCAGGAGCCCUGCCUUUUCUAUUGUGGCCUUGAUGGAUUGGCACUUCCAAACACUCAUCAUCCAUCACACCAGCCCAAUUCUAUUUUUUCUAGCUCGACAGAACACACUGUGUUCUCUGGAGCCACAAAGAGAAGAAAAUAUUCCCUCCAACACUCCUGCAUGAUGAAUUUUUCUACCUCUACAUUAAGUUCUGCUCACAGGGCAUGUCUUUUUGGCUUUUUGAGUGUCCCGACUAUGACAGGAGAACUGGUAGAAGACCAAUAAUGCUGCUACUAUCACCAACCCAUAUUGCCUGACAUUUUUCACCUCUCUUCUUAUAAAGAGCUCCCAGCUCCAAGAAGAGAAAAAAAAGAGGAAAGGAAAACCCACACAAUAUCAAUAAAGUUUACCCUUGAGAUUAAGUUGCAUUCUCAGAUAGUGUUUUCACAACAUAAUUUUUUAUGCAUUCUGCUUAGAUUUUAAGAUAUUUGGGCAGAAAUCAAAAUUUCCCUCCAGUUUUUAUUCUGCAGUAAGUGCUAGGUUUCUGCCUCACGCACACAUACUCACACAGAUAUUAACAUAUGUGGAAAGUGACUUCUAUGAUAGAGUUAAUUUCCCAUUUACUAUGAGCAAGGAGUUUUUUCUAAAAUAUGAUCAACUUGGCGGUGCUAGUGUAUAAGUUUAAUAAUAUUUUUGGUAACUAGAAAGGAGGAAAUAACCCAUGAGUCAUGAAAAACCUGAAAAGACUAUUCUGAUGUUUGUUUAUCUUGAACUAAAUUUGCAGGGAAAUAAAAUCACUCUAGCAGCUAAAACUGCACACUCACAUUCUUUUGUAUGAAUUAAUUAUACUUAACUGCUCUGUAAUGUCCUGAUUAAUUAUUUCCUGUUCCAGUCAGUUCAUUGUGCAUUUUGAUACAAAACCUGCAUGAUGAUGAGGAUCUUGGAUCUAUUUCUCAUCUUGCAUACGGCCCCCAUAGAGCUGAUCUGAAUGACUAGCUUCAAAGAAAGCCAACAUCUUCAUCAGCACCCCAGGAGAGCUGUGUUGGACACAGGCGGUGACAAUGGAACUGUAUUUUUGGCCCAGGGCAUGGAAUCACCACUUAUGCAUGAGGAGCAAUGAGCUGGGGCAUUUAACACUGCACAGCUUGUGAGAAAUGUAACUCUCCACGCUGCACAAAUUCUGAUGACUUGUCUCCCACCAACAGACUCUCAUGUGUAUGGAGUGAUGGGGCUCUCAAGAGCAAGGUGAACAUGGCUAGCUCUAAAGCCUGGAAGAGGACUCACUCCUACAUUUUUCACUGGAGAAGAGGCUCCUACAAUUGUGCCUGCCCUACCCAGGACCUCCAUCUUCCCAGGUGCCUUGCCAGUCUGGCCAGGAGUGGACACCUUAGUCAAGCUCUCCAGACCUACCAAUCAUGCCCCAUGCAGGAUUCUGUGAACUGUCUCCAGAUCACUUCCAUUUAAAACCUUCAGUGACUCCCAAUGCCCUGUGUGAUUUUGAACUUGACCCUCUGCAAUUCACCUGUCCUCAUCUCAGAAGUAGGCCAAGGAUAAGCUUGGAACCAUUCCACUGGAGCAGCUUCUCUGAGAAACACCAAAUGUAACCUGGCAUCAAAUUGUUAGCAGAGAAAUAUCUCCUCUCAGAGAUUUCUGCAUGUUUUUGGAAAGCUUAAGAUACUUGGGGAUGGGUGAGGGGAUGAGACACCCAAGGGGUAUGCUGGAGGAACAAUAGAUGGUGGCUGGAGUGAGGCGUGAGGUAGGUUGAGAGGGACAACUUGGAGGUGGUAGACCCUGUUUCCCAUAGACCUUCUGUUUUGCCGAGUUGGCCAUGAUGUUUGAGGUUGGAGCUAAAUUAGAACAGUGGCACAAAUGAGUGCAGCCUGUCUGCUGCCCUUUCCCCAGGCAGAGCUCAGCCUCUCAUUUAAGCAAAUGUUGGAUAAAUAUUUAAAGAACAAAGUUUUAAAGGGUGCCAAAUCAUCAGACAACGUGUUUCUGUCUAGCCUUGCUCACUCCUUCUUCCUUCUCUGUCUGUCUUUCCUUUCACACCCAUAUUCCUUUGUCCUCCCAUUCCAUCUGCCCUGCCCCUUCCCACAGUGGCCAAGAACACAGGCUGAGUCAGAUGCCCACAUUGGAUUCUCAGCUUCACCAUUUAAUAAGUAAGAGUCCCUGGAAAUGGUGUUUUUUGUUUGUUAGGUUGUUCUGAAGUUUUGUGGGCUUUUUCUGCACUUUUAAAAUUAAUCUCUGUGUCUGGUUUCUCAUCUGGAAGUUGGGAUAACAGUAGUGCCAUACCAACUACAGAGCUGAUAGGAUUAAAUGAGAUCAUUUAUUACCUGGCACCAUAAUUGCAUAAAACAUUUUUAUUAUUAACAUUGUGUCUGACACUUGGAAUUAUUUUAAUCCACUCAACCCAAUAAGCACUUAAUAGAUGUUCUUUGCAUUGAAUUGAAUGCUAAAUCCCAUUGCUAAUCUCCUAUCACCUCAUCCUCACCUUUCUCUAACCUCACUCUCCCCCUUGCUAGAACUUCUCAUCUGAAGUCAAGAUAAGAAUGAAAAGAACAAUCCAAAUUCUCCAUUCCCAGAUCCCAUCAAAUAUUUUGAAUUGCAAACGGAAGCAGAAUGUUUUCUGAUGGAAUACUCUGCUAUAUUUUCCUGAAAGACUAUUUUAAAAUAUUCAUCUACCCUAAUUAGUAAAAGAGGGUCGAUUUGCAAAGCAGGUGAACGAUAUUUUGAGGCUCACUCUUGAACAGUAGCAGAGUGUCAGUUCGUGGGAAUUUAUUGUAUGGAGUUCCUAGGGCCUUGGGGUCAUGAUGUUGGCAUUUAAACCUUAGCAAGAAUAGCGCUGAAAGCAAAGCUGACAUAUAUAGGAAUGAGUGGGCCCCGGUGCUGCCUUUUUGUUCUUUCAAAAAGAUCAUAGCAUAUUAAUGGGAACGACUUCUGAUUCUUCCUCGGCGGCUGCCACAGCACUCUGAACACACCAUCCUUCAGUUCUCUGCAUGGUCUAUUUGGUUAUGAUGGAAUGAAUUUUAACAGGGUCCUUCCUCCUUCCUCUCCCCUUCCCUCCUUCCCUCCUUUACUCUUUCUCUCCCUUUCUUUCUUCAUUUCUGUUUUCCUUUAUUAAUUCACUCAAGGAUAUUUAAGGCUAUCUACCACAGGCCAGGCAGUAAACCAUACUGAGUUGGUACUUACUCUUGUGACUCUUACAAUCUAGCUAGGAACACAGACAUCGAGUGUUAGUAAAUUAGAAGUUGCCAUGGGAGUAAGAAGAGAUAAGACCGAACCCAUUUCUGCAGAAUGAGAGAAGGUGCCCUGGAAGAAAUAAUUAUCCCUGGAGAUAUGAAAAAUGAGCAGAUCAGCUGGGAGAAACAGGCUAGGAAGAGGGAGCGUGGGGGCCAGCAGGGGCCGUGGGAGAAGGGUAUGGGAGCUCUUUUGCACUCAAGCAGCACGUGCUCCUGGCCUCAACCUGCAGCUGCUCUGAGGGAUGCCUGUAGCCCUGGGCAUUUCCAGAAGAUCUCUUCUACUACAUCUGUGCUAGGGGUGGCUUUGCUUAGAGAUGAAAUCAGCUGCCACAUCCUGCUGUGAGUUGAGGGGAUUUUGUGCCACACUCUGGUCUUGGUCAUCUGUGAUCACUUCCAGUUUGCACACGUGGAGGUCUAGUCUCUGAGAAGCAGAGCAACUUGCCCCAGACUCAACACUCUGAGAGGCAGAGCUGGAAUUAGAACCCAGGAUUGUCUGUCCCUGAAACGUGUGCUUUUUCCUCAAGACUAAGGUAACUCCUAGAGGUUUUCUUAGGUGAAACUUCCUGUCUGAAAAUACCAUCUUUACACAGAUGACUGCAACCCAUCCACCACAGAAAGGUUAGGUCUUAGAAAAUAACAUAGUUCAGGAAUACCGUUUGACCUAGCAAUCCCAUUACUGGGUAUAUACCCAAAGGAUUAUAAAUCAUUCUACUAUA